AGAGCGAACGCUGGCGGCAGGCCUAACACAUGCAAGUCGAGCGCCCGUAGCAAUACGGGAGCGGCAGACGGGAUAGUAACACGUGGGAACGCGCCCUUCGGUUCGGAAUAACUCAGGGAAACUUGAGCUAAUACCGAAUACGCCCUUACGGGGAAAGAUUUAUUGCCGAAGGAACGGCCCGCGUCCGAUUAGCUAGUUGGUGAGGUAAUGGCUCACCAAGGCGACGAUCGGUAGCUGGUCUGAGAGGAUGACCAGCAUCACUGGGACUGAGACACGGCCCAGACUCCUACGGGAGGCAGCAGUGGGGAAUAUUGGACAAUGGGCGCAAGCCUGAUCCAGCCAUGCCGCGUGUGGGACGAAGGCCUUCUGGGUUGUAAACCACUUUCAGCAGGGACGAUUGUGACGGUACCUGCAGAAGACGCCCCGGCCAACUACGUGCCAGCAGCCGC
rnacentral:rRNA from 1 species